rnacentral:rRNA from 1 species
AACUUGGGCCGUAACCAUUGUCUGAUCUUGGCAGAUCUUAGAAACUUAGCAAGGCUGGGACUGGUUAGUACUUUGAUGGGAGACAACAGGGGAAUAUCAGCUGCCAGCAUUG